AUUGAACGCUGGCGGCAGGCUUAACACAUGCAAGUCGAGCGGGGGAAGGUAGCUUGCUACCGGACCUAGCGGCGGACGGGUGAGUAACACGUAAGGAAUCUACCUAUAAGCGGGGGAUAACAUUCGGAAACGGGUGCUAAUACCGCAUAAUAUCUUCUUCCGCAUGGAAGAAGAUUGAAAGACGGCUCUGCUGUCACUUAUAGAUGACCUUGCGGUGCAUUAGUUAGUUGGUGGGGUAAUGGCCUACCAAGACGAUGAUGCAUAGCCGACCUGAGAGGGUGAUCGGCCACAUUGGGACUGAGACACGGCCCAAACUCCUACGGGAGGCAGCAGCAGGGAAUCUUCCGCAAUGGGCGAAAGCCUGACGGAGCAAUGCCGCGUGAGUGAAGAAGGCCUUCGGGUCGUAAAACUCUGUUAUAAGAGAAGAACAAAUUGUAGAGUAACUGCUACAGUCUUGACGGUAUCUUAUCAGAAAGCCACGGCUAACUACGUGCCAGCCGCCGCAGUAA
rnacentral:rRNA from 1 species